UAAAACCAUAAUGAGGUAAUACUUUAGCCCC
rnacentral:piRNA from 1 species